GACGAACGCUGGCGGCGUGCUUAACACAUGCAAGUCGAGCGCUGAAGCUUGGUGCUUGCACUGGGUGGAUGAGUGGCGAACGGGUGAGUAAUACGUGAGUAACCUGCCCUUGACUCUGGGAUAAGCCUGGGAAACUGGGUCUAAUACUGGAUACGACAUGUCACCGCAUGGUGGUGUGUGGAAAGGGUUUUACUGGUUUUGGAUGGGCUCACGGCCUAUCAGCUUGUUGGUGGGGUAAUGGCUCACCAAGGCGACGACGGGUAGCCGGCCUGAGAGGGUGACCGGCCACACUGGGACUGAGACACGGCCCAGACUCCUACGGGAGGCAGCAGUGGGGAAUAUUGCACAAUGGGCGGAAGCCUGAUGCAGCGACGCCGCGUGAGGGAUGACGGCCUUCGGGUUGUAAACCUCUUUCAGCAAGGAAGAAGCGAAAGUGACGGUACGUGCAGAAGAAGCGCCGGCUAACUACGUG
rnacentral:rRNA from 1 species